rnacentral:rRNA from 1 species
GACGAACGCUGGCGGCGUGCCUAACACAUGCAAGUCGAGCGGGGGGGAGUACUUCGGUACAAACCUAGCGGCGGACGGGUGAGUAACACGUGGGUAACCUGCCUCAAAGUGGGGGAUAGCCUUUCGAAAGGAAGAUUAAUACCGCAUAACCCAUAGCUUUCGCAUGGAAGCAAUGGUAAAGAUUUAUCGCUUUGAGAUGGACCCGCGGCGCAUUAGCUAGUUGGUGAGGUAACGGCUCACCAAGGCCACGAUGCGUAGCCGACCCGAGAGGGUGAUCGGCCACAUUGGAACUGAGACACGGUCCAGACUCCUACGGGAGGCAGCAGUGGGGAAUAUUGCACAAUGGGCGAAAGCCUGAUGCAGCAACGCCGCGUGAGUGAUGAAGGCCUUCGGGUUGUAAAGCUCUGUCUUUUGGGACGAUAAUGACGGUACCAAAGGAGGAAGCCACGGCUAACUACGUGCCAGCCGCCGCAGUAAGAC